UACGUAGGGGGCAAGCGUUGUCCGGAUUUAUUGGGCGUAAAGAGCGUGUAGGCGGCCACACAGGUCAGCUGUGAAAACUCGAGGCUCAACCUCGAGACGUCGGUUGAAACCGUAUGGCUAGAGUCCGGAAGAGGAGAGUGGAAUUCCCGGUGUAGCGGUGAAAUGCGCAGAUAUUCGCAAGAACACCAGUGGCGAAGGCGGCUCACUGGCCCGGUACUGACGCUGAGGUGCGAAAGCGUGGGGAGCAAACAGG
rnacentral:rRNA from 1 species